GCAGAGGAAGCAUCAUGAAGAGGCUAGCAGGCGCUGUGCUGGGGCUUUUGUUUGCCCAGGUUUGCUCUGUGCGAGGGGUGGAUGUGGAGCAGAGUCCCGCAGCCCUGAGUCUCCAGGAGGGAGCCAGCCACGUGCUGAGGUGUAAUUUUUCUGCCUCUGUGAGCAAUGUACACUGGUAUCUUCAGAACCCCAGCGGCCGCCUUAUCCACCUGUUUAACAUUCCUUCAGGGACAAAGCAGGAAGGAAGAUUAAACGCCACAACAAUCCGUAAAGAACGCCGCAGCUCACUGCACAUUUCCUCUUCGCGGACCACAGACUCGGGCACUUCUGCGCUGCGCAGCACGGUGCUCCCCAGGCACCUGCGGCCUCUACACGAACCCUCCGGGGCUCAGCCCCUCCUCCAGCCUCAGUCACACCGUGGGCCCCACAGGGCGUUCGCAGUGCUGAUUGUCUCUUACCUACACUGGUACAGUUUAAUCACAGACACUUUCCGCCUACAGAUUGUGAACUUCGGUCUUUGUCUUCCUUUCUCAACCUGUAUCUCCUUCUGCACUAGAGACUUCUAA